rnacentral:lncRNA from 1 species
AUAAUUAAUUCAGAGAUUUUCAAAAAGCUAUUAUAAAAGAGGGCUCGGAUUUUUUUCAGUUGUUACCUGAUUCAUUGAGAGUGCUUCCUGCCUCAAUAUUUGUUUUGAUUUACCAAUGCUAUCACUAUUAUUCCGUUUUAUCUCCUUACACAAUAAGAAAAUAAAUGGACACCCAAAGUAAAUUAGUGAUUGUCAAAAACUAAGAAAUAACUUGUCUGAUAGGAUAUCUUCCCUAAAAUGAGACUACAGUAUUCACUAUUUAGAAUGAGUAAUUACUAAUUAUUUAUGGAAUAAGAAGAUGAUCUAGUUGAAGAUGCAAAGUAAUUAAUGGGAAUUAUGAAUAUAGGUUUUAUUGAUGAUAACUUCGACGAAAAUUGUAGCGGGCUCAUUCAUCUGUACACAUUUAAGUUUAAUAUUUUUCUUGACUUAGACAAAUCUGGACAUUACUUAUUUUCCUUUGUACCCGGAGCAUAAUAACUUGUACUUGGAGGCAGAAAGACUCAGAGCAUGAGGACUUGGACUCUACCUGAACACCGAAAAGGUGGACUCAAAUACAGUUCUCAAUAUUGGAUCUUAACUAUUUUCUUUAAUUAUGUUUAUUGCUUGCUAUUUAGAAUGAGUUACUAAUAAUUAUUUAUGGAAUAUGAAGAGUAUCUAUAAUGAAAAUACGAAAUAUCAAAUAAAAAUUAUUAAUAUAAGUUUUAUUGAUGACAACCUCGACGAAAAUGUGAUGCGGCCUCAUUCAUCAGUACAUAUUAUAUUCUUAUAUUUUAUAUAUUCAAAUUAAAAAAUUGUGAAAUGUAGGUCCUAGUAAACGAACAACCAAAUAUUGAAACAUCGUUCAUAUCCUCUUGAUUUUCCAUUUAUCUAUUUGCAAUACAACAUCAACUGUUGACUCUUUACCUUUAAGUUCUUAUUAGCAAGGGUACUAUUAUAGGGGGGGGGGAUAUAUUGUCCUUUUCAUACUCCCAAAAAUAAUCCAAGACCUUUUUUAAUAAAAUUUGCUUCAUUUUUAAUCUAAUGGCGUAUUUUAUAUAUAAUUGAUGUAGUUAUUUCUAUGAAUAACUUUUUGCAUGAAAAUUGUGUAUUUUAUUUUUUCAAAAGGGACCUCCAAAAAUGUCGUUUAUUAACUCAUCCUAGAAUAUCCUAUACUCCAAUAUUCGAACACUCCUGUGGCACCGAACCCUGUUUAUUAGCAGUGGUAAAUUGGCAAGUGACUUUAAUACAGAAGACAAUGUGUAUAUUUUUACUAUCGCUGCGCUGGAGAUACGUAAAAGUGUUUUAUUUAAAUUUGAUCGAGAAACUUUGGAUCUUGUACUAUUUUUAGAGAGAUCAUAUUUGGUGACAAAUGAAAGAGCCAUAAAUAAAUUUUAACUGGAUUUCAGAAGUAAAAGUUAGAGCGUGGAAAAAUAUGUGAUCACAUAUUUCAUAGCAUAUUUUUGGAUUUUUGACAAGAAUAACAUAUUAACUAAGUUUUGGGAGAAAAAACAUAAUAUG